rnacentral:tRNA from 1 species
GCCAAGAUAGUUCAAUAGGUUAGAACAUUAAUUUCAUGCAUUAAGAAUGAGAAUUCAAUUUUCUCUCUUGGUA